rnacentral:lncRNA from 1 species
AUAUGUACAAUGUAAAAGUGUAAAUGGUCUUACUGUAACUGGUUUUGUAUUUUGUGUCUUGUGAUGUCCAGAUUGCAGUUUUGGUUCAGGGGGUCUCCUCAGUGGAUAUUUUGGACUUGGACAGGAUUCAAACAUUUCACUUUCUUCUUUUACGACAUUUGCAUCAGUACCCUCAGUAAAAAUAUCUAUGACAGGUUGAAAAACAUUAUGUUGAUGGUUCAGUGGCUCAACUUUCAAGUCGAAGUUAAGGCACCUUAAGGAAAGUGGAAACCUGUUCUGAGACCUCACUUUCUUUCUGAGACUGAACAUCAGCCCCAAGCUUUGAAUCAAUUUGCCGAUUAAUGCCGAAAAAAUAAAUGUAAAUGUAAAUUGCUGCAUCAGAGAUAUCUAACAGUUGCUCCAGAGCUACCAGUGUCUCUCCCAAAGCUACUGGAGAUAUUUCUACAUACGCUUGUUCCGAGCAUGUUAACACUAAUUGCAAACAUUUAGGUAGAUAUUGUAACUAUCCCUCUGCUACAUGGUAAUCCUACUUGCCUACAGUUGUUCAUCAGCUGACUGUAUUGCAUGCAUUUAAGCCUUAAUGAGUAUUUCACAAAUCAUUAUCUCCAGACAUCCUGUAAACCAUUGCACACAUAGGACUGUUGUUGCUGUGGUUGGGCUUCAGGGCGUUUAUCAAGAAGUGUGGCUAAUAUCUUUGGAGGUAACAUCCAGUCCUGUGAUGUGCCACUUUAACACAGAACUCUUUCAGCUUCAGUGAAAAGACUGCCAACGUAAUGAUGACAUCUACAGAAAUGUCUGUAGGGAAGCAGAUUUUACUCCAGGCAUGUCCCAAUGUGACACAUGUUUGAGGAAACACUGCCAGCCAACACCAAUAACCAUAAUAUAUUAAGAAGAUGUUUUGUUUGUUCUUUUACGCUUUUUAGUGGUUAUUUGUAAAACAUUUCCUCGAUGUUUCCUUGAUGACUAAGAGCCCAUACAAACUUAUCUGUUUUACAAUUCAAUCUAUUUGUUUUAUUUAUUAUGUAUAAGUGAAUAUGUAAAAUGUACAGUAUGAAAAACUCUUUGUUCUUAUUUCAUAGUAAAAAAAAAAAGUGUGAUUGUUUUUCUGAUUUAAGUAACUUGAGUUUAUGUACUCACCACAUGUUGGACCAAAAAUGUAAGCUUUCAAGGAAGAUGUUGUUCAAAUCACCCAAUCUCGAUAAUCCCAAAUACUGUAAAUAAGCUAUGUUGUGUUUCAAGUAAAAGUAAGUAAGCUUCGAAUUUAUCUGAUAAGAUUUUUGAUCUCUGUGUUUCUGUCAUUUGGGGUCCUCAAAACAUAUAAUAAACACCAACAACAUGCUUAAUUUUGCAUACUGUGGUUGUUUCUU